UCGUCACACUAUCAUUAACUGAAUCCAUAGGUUAAUGAGGCGAACCGGGGGAACUGAAACAUCUAAGUACCCCGAGGAAAAGAAAUCAACCGAGAUUCCCCCAGUAGCGGCGAGCGAACGGGGAGGAGCCCAGAGCCUGAAUCAGCAUGUGUGUUAGUGGAAGCGUCUGGAAAGGCGCGCGAUACAGGGUGACAGCCCCGUACACAAAAGCGCAUGUGCUGUGAGCUCGAUGAGUAGGGCGGGACACGUGGUAUCCUGUCUGAAUAUGGGGGGACCAUCCUCCAAGGCUAAAUACUCCUGACUGACCGAUAGUGAACCAGUACCGUGAGGGAAAGGCGAAAAGAACCCCGGCGAGGGGAGUGAAAAAGAACCUGAAACCGUGUACGUACAAGCAGUGGGAGCCCCACCACCAAAGCAUUCUCUGGUGUUGAAGGCCCUGCAAAGCAGCAUCGCGGUGGCGGAGCGUCGUUUGCGACGCCCAACACACAAAACAAGCGGUGAGUGCUUUGGGGUGGGGUGACUGCGUACCUUUUGUAUAAUGGGUCAGCGACUUAUAUUCUGUAGCAAGGUUAACCGAAUAGGGGAGCCGGAGGGAAACCGAGUCUUAAUUGGGCGUUAAGUUGCAGGGUAUAGACCCGAAACCCGGUGAUCUAGCCAUGGGCAGGUUGAAGGUUGGGUAACACUAACUGGAGGACCGAACCGACUAAUGUUGAAAAAUUAGCGGAUGACCUGUGGCUGGGGGUGAAAGGCCAAUCAAACCGGGAGAUAGCUGGUUCUCCCCGAAAGCUAUUUAGGUAGCGCCUCGUGAAUUCAUCUCCGGGGGUAGAGCACUGUUUCGGCUAGGGGGCCAUCCCGGCUUACCAACCCGAUGCAAACUGCGAAUACCGGAGAAUGUUAUCACGGGAGACACACGGCGGGUGCUAACGUCCGUCGUGAAGAGGGAAACAACCCAGACCGCCAGCUAAGGUCCCAAAGUCAUGGUUAAGUGGGAAACGAUGUGGGAAGGCCCAGACAGCCAGGAUGUUGGCUUAGAAGCAGCCAUCAUUUAAAGAAAGCGUAAUAGCUCACUGGUCGAGUCGGCCUGCGCGGAAGAUGUAACGGGGCUAAACCAUGCACCGAAGCUGCGGCAGCGACRCUKAUGYGUUGUUGGGUAGGGGAGCGUUCUGUAAGCCUGYGAAGGUGKSYYGUGAGGSWUGCUGGAGGUAUCAGAAGUGCGAAUGCUGACAUAAGUAACGAUAAAGCGGGUGAAAAGCCCGCUCGCCGGAAGACCAAGGGUUCCUGUCCAACGUUAAUCGGGGCAGGGUGAGUCGACCCCUAAGGCGAGGCCGAAAGGCGUAGUCGAUGGGAAACGGGUUAAUAUUCCCGUACUUGGUGUUACUGCGAAGGGGGGACGGAGAAGGCUAUGUUGGCCGGGCGACGGUUGUCCCGGUUUAAGCGUGUAGGUGUGUGUUCCAGGUAAAUCCGGUUCACUUUAACACUGAGGCGUGAYGACGAGGCACUACGGUGCUGAAGCAACAAAUGCCCUGCUUCCAGGAAAAGCCUCUAAGCAUCAGGUAACAUCAAAUCGUACCCCAAACCGACACAGGUGGUCAGGUAGAGAAUACCAAGGCGCUUGAGAGAACUCGGGUGAAGGAACUAGGCAAAAUGGUGCCGUAACUUCGGGAGAAGGCACGCUGACAYGUAGGUGAAGUGAUUUACUCAYGGAGCUGAAGUCAGUCGAAGAUACCAGCUGGCUGCAACUGUUUAUUAAAAACACAGCACUGUGCAAACACGAAAGUGGACGUAUACGGUGUGACGCCUGCCCGGUGCCGGAAGGUUAAUUGAUGGGGUCAGCGCAAGCGAAGCUCCUGAUCGAAGCCCCGGUAAACGGCGGCCGUAACUAUAACGGUCCUAAGGUAGCGAAAUUCCUUGUCGGGUAAGUUCCGACCUGCACGAAUGGCGUAAUGAUGGCCAGGCUGUCUCCACCCGAGACUCAGUGAAAUUGAACUCGCUGUGAAGAUGCAGUGUACCCGCGGCAAGACGGAAAGACCCCGUGAACCUUUACUAUAGCUUGACACUGAACAUUGAGCCUUGAUGUGUAGGAUAGGUGGGAGGCUUUGAAGUGUGGACGCCAGUCUGCAUGGAGCCGACCUUGAAAUACCACCCUUUAAUGUUUGAUGUUCUAACGUGGACCCGUWAYCCGGGUUGCGGACAGUGUCUGGUGGGUAGUUUGACUGGGGCGGUCUCCUCCUAAAGAGUAACGGAGGAGCACGAAGGUUGGCUAAUCCUGGUCGGACAUCAGGAGGUUAGUGCAAUGGCAUAAGCCAGCUUGACUGCGAGCGUGACGGCGCGAGCAGGUGCGAAAGCAGGUCAUAGUGAUCCGGUGGUUCUGAAUGGAAGGGCCAUCGCUCAACGGAUAAAAGGUACUCCGGGGAUAACAGGCUGAUACCGCCCAAGAGUUCAUAUCGACGGCGGUGUUUGGCACCUCGAUGUCGGCUCAUCACAUCCUGGGGCUGAAGUAGGUCCCAAGGGUAUGGCUGUUCGCCAUUUAAAGUGGUACGCGAGCUGGGUUUAGAACGUCGUGAGACAGUUCGGUCCCUAUCUGCCGUGGGCGCUGGAGAACUGAGGGGGGCUGCUCCUAGUACGAGAGGACCGGAGUGGACGCAUCACUGGUGUUCGGGUUGUCAUGCCAAUGGCACUGCCCGGUAGCUAAAUGCGGAAGAGAUAAGUGCUGAAAGCAUCUAAGCACGAAACUUGCCCCGAGAUGAGUUCUCCCUGAGACUUA
rnacentral:rRNA from 1 species